AGCAGUGUGGCUUAGUGGAAAGAGCCUGGGCUUGGGAGUCAGAGGCCGUGGGUUCGAAUCCCAGCUCCGCCA
rnacentral:tRNA from 1 species